UAGGGAAUCUUCGGCAAUGGGGGGAACCCUGACCGAGCAACGCCGCGUGAGUGAAGAAGGUUUUCGGAUCGUAAAGCUCUGUUGUUAAGGAAGAACGAGUGUGAGAAUGGAAAGUUCAUGCUGUGACGGUACUUAACCAGAAAGGGACGGCUAACUACGUGCCAGCAGCCGCGGUAAUACGUAGGUCCCGAGCGUUGUCCGGAGUGAUUGGGCGUAAAGCGAGCGCAGGCGGUUAGAAAAGUCUGAAGUGAAAGGCAGUGGCUCAACCAUUGUAGGCUUUGGAAACUGUUUAACUUGAGUGCAGAAGGGGAGAGUGGAAUUCCAUGUGUAGCGGUGAAAUGCGUAGAUAUAUGGAGGAACACCGGUGGCGAAAGCGGCUCUCUGGUCUGUAACUGACGCUGAGGCUCGAAAGCGUGGGGAGAGAACAGG
rnacentral:rRNA from 1 species